UAGGCAUUGGGAUGUAAGGUGAUGAAGUGCUGGGCUCUGAUGUACUUAAGAACAGGAAUUUACCAAAGUGGACAAAAAAAAAAUCAAGCAGCUCUACUCAGCAGUGUGAAGGGCGUCCAGGGAGCUUAUAAGAAAUGUCUGCCCCUUUAAGCUGUCUUUGGCAUACAUCACAUGAAUCAGAAGGUGUGUUCCACCAGAGAACUAAAUGCACCCAGCCCUGCUGAUGCUCCAGUCCCCAGGGUCAUGCUGACACCAGUCCAGAGAAAAACGCUAUUCAUAUCACACAGCUGCGCACCCUGGGCCAAAGACAAUAAAUAAUGGAGACAUCAUUUUUGUUGAAGCAUCAUUCCUUGGAAGCACCAUUUUGUUGUGUCCUACAAAUAAUUUUUGUCUUCUACCUAAAC
ensembl:lncRNA